GAUGAAGAACGUAGCGAAAUGCGAUAAGUAAUGUGAAUUGCAGAAUUCAGUGAAUCAUCGAAUCUUUGAACGCACAUUGCGCCCCCUGGUAUUCCGGGGGGCAUGCCUGUUCGAGCGUCAUUUCGCCACUCAAGCCUCGCUUGGUAUUGGGCAACGCGGUCCGCCGCGUGCCUCAAAUCGACCGGCUGGGUCUUCUGUCCCCUAAGCGUUGUGGAAACUAUUCGCUAAAGGGUGUUCGGGAGGCUACGCCGUAAAACAACCCCAUUUCUAAGGUUGACCUCGGAUCAGGUAGGGAUACCCGCUGAACUUAAGCAUAUCAAUAAGCGGAGGA
rnacentral:misc_RNA from 1 species